GAUGAACGCAGGCGGCGUGCCUAAUACAUGCAAGUCGAGCGAACAGACGAGGAGCUUGCUCAUCUGACGUUAGCGGCGAACGGGUGAGUAACACGUGGAUAACCUACCUAUAAGACUGGGAUAACUUCGGGAAACCGGAGCUAAUACCGGAUAAUAUAUUGAACCGCAUGGUUCAAUAGUGAAAGACGGUUUUGCUGUCCCUUAUAGAUGGAUCAGCGCCGCAUUAGCUAGUUGGUAAGGUAACGGCUUACCAAGGCACCGAUGCGUAGCCGACCUGAGAGAGUGAGCGGCCACACUGGAACUGAGACACGGUCCAGACUCCUACGGGAGGCAGCAGUAGGGAAUCUUCCGCAAUGGGCGAAAGCCUGACGGAGCAACGCCGCGUGAGUGAUGAAGGUCUUCGGAUCGUAAAACUCUGUUAUUAGGGAAGAACAAAUGUGUAAGUAACUAUGCACGUCUUGACGGUACCUAAUCAGAAAGCCACGGCUAACUACGUG
rnacentral:rRNA from 1 species